AGGACGAACGCUGGCGGCGUGCCUAACACAUGCAAGUCGAACGGGACCCGCAAGGGUUCAGUGGCGAACGGGUGCGUAACACGUGAAGAAUUUGUCCAACGGCGGGGGAUAGCCGGCCCAACGGCCGGGUAAUACCGCGUACGACCCUCGGGGGGCAUCCCCUGAAGGUGGAAGCCGCAAGGCGCCGAUGGAGAACUUCGCGGCCUAUCAGCUAGUUGGUGAGGUCAUGGCUCACCAAGGCGACGACGGGUAGCUGGUCCGAGAGGAUGACCAGCCACAUUGGGACUGAGACACGGCCCAGACUCCUACGGGAGGCAGCAGUGGGGAAUAGUUGCGCAAUGGGCGAAAGCCUGACGCGGCGACGCCGCGUGUCGGGAUGACGGCCUUCGGGUUGUAAACCACUGUCGCGAGGGACGAAGAUCGUGCGGUACCUCGAAAGGAAGCACCGGCUAACGUCUAGUCGCCAGCAAGCCGC
rnacentral:rRNA from 1 species